AAAUGAAUUGACGGGCACUCGCACAAGCGGUGGAGCAUGCGGUUUAAUUCGAUGCAACGCGAAGAACCUUACCAGGUCUUGACAUCCCAACGACCGGUCUAGAGAUAGACCUUUCCUUCGGGACGAUGGAGACAGGUGGUGCAUGGUUGUCGUCAGCUCGUGUCGUGAGAUGUUGGGUUAAGUCCCGCAACGAGCGCAACCCUUAUCAUUAGUUGCUACCAUUAAGUUGAGGACUCUAAUGAAACCGCCGGUGACAAACCGGAUGAAGGUGGGGAUGACGUCAAAUCAUCAUGCCCCUUAAGACCUGGGCUACACGCGUGCUACAAUGGCCAGUACAAUGAGUCGCGAAGCUGUGAAGCGGAGCUAAUCUCAAAAAGCUGGUCUCAGUUCGGAUUGUAGUCUGCAACUCGACUACAUGAAGCAGGAAUCGCUAGUAAUCGUGAAUCAGAAUGUCACGGUGAAUACGUUCUCGAGUGUUGUACACACCGCCCGU
rnacentral:rRNA from 1 species